CGGAGGCAGCAGUAAGGAAUAUUGGACAAUGGGCGCAAGCCUGAUCCAGCCAUGCCGCGUGCAGGAUGACGGUCCUAUGGAUUGUAAACUGCUUUUAUACGAGAAGAAACACUGGUUCGUGAACCAGCUUGACGGUAUCGUAAGAAUAAGGAUCGGCUAACUCCGUGCCAGCAGCCGCGGUAAUACGGAGGAUCCAAGCGUUAUCCGGAAUCAUUGGGUUUAAAGGGUCCGUAGGCGGUCAGAUAAGUCAGUGGUGAAAGCCCAUCGCUCAACGGUGGAACGGCCAUUGAUACUGUCUGACUUGAGUUAUUAGGAAGUAACUAGAAUAUGUAGUGUAGCGGUGAAAUGCUUAGAGAUUACAUGGAAUACCAAUUGCGAAGGCAGGUUACUACUAAUGGAUUGACGCUGAUGGACGAAAGCGUGGGUAGCGAACAGGAUUAGAAACCCUUGUAGUCCC
rnacentral:rRNA from 1 species